AGAUAGAUAGAUAAGUGUUUGUGUGUGUGUGUGUGUGUGUGUGUGUGUGUGUGUGUUCUUUGAGGCCAUAACAGCAACCUCCGGCUGUAGGAUUCCGUCCUUCCCAGAAUAUUUUCAGGAGUCUUAUGCUCUCCUGAAUGGCUCAGGAUCUUUGCCUGGUGCUACAUACUGUAUGUAUAUGUGGAUGUGUGUGUGUGUGUGUGUGUGUGUGUGUGUGUGUGUGUGUGUGUGUGUGUGUGUGUGUGUGUGUGUGUGUCUAUCAUGCGAUGUCAUGUUAAACAAGUUGAUCCUGUCCUGCCCCAAAUGUCAGCCGCAGUCAGUGGAGUGUGUGAUUUCUAGCGUGGCCACAAAUUGAGACAAGAUCAUGACUUGAGCGAUCUACUUUUGAGGGCAUUUUAGUGGCGUGCUUUGCGAUUUUUUUUUUUUUUUUUUUUUACAAUGUACAACAUGUGCCUUGGCUUCAUCAAAUUUGGGAAACACUGCUCAACGACGUGCACAUCAAUUCCCAGAAUCAAUUUUGCAAUCCCACCCCCCCUCUCCUCUCCCUGCUCCAUCGAAGGAAUACAUAGCACUUAAACGGCAUGUAGGCAAUCCCUCCGAGCGAAAUCUCUCAGGCGUUACAGGGGCAUUAUGUAUGUCAAUCAGUGCGACAUGCGUUGACACCUUUUGCACUCGUUCCCCCUCCCAACUGCAAAAGCAGGACGACAAAUCCUCAAGUCGAGCUGCAUCUCUCCGACUUUUUUUUUUUUUGGGGGGGCGGUCCUUUCCUCAAAAGUGCUUUGCAGCCGGCGGCCAUCUCAGACCCUAUUGUAGUGCGUUGUCCCCCAUCAAGGGUGUGUGUGUGUGUGUGUGUGUGUGUGUGUGUGUGUGUGUGUUUAUUGGCUCGCGAGACCUGAUGGUCUCAAUGAUAGUUGAGUGAGUGAGGAUGAGACGAGGGUCUCCCUAUGGACAAAAAACAAAGUUUGUACACUGUAAACCUUCCCGAGAGUUUAAUGCCCUUCUUUUUAAAUCUUCCAAUUCAGGGAGGGAAAAAAAGAGUCAAUUCCAUUUUUGGAAAGAAAAAAAAAGUGUUUCCGUGACUGGUUUGGAGUUAGAACUCCCCAGAUCUGCCGGAUGAAUACAAUUUCAAAUGUUGUUGCCUUUCUCUAUGUAAUGUGAUUGCGGGGUGGGGUGGAGAUUCCGCUAGUAUGUACAGUGCAACCCGCCGAGUAACUGACACCUGCCCCAAAAGUGUCCGUAGAUGCCACACAAUUGCCGCAAGGCAUGACCGUUUUUCUGAAUAAAGUUCCUCUAUGUGGCAAGAUGGCAACUUAGUUCCUCUGCACCAAGAUGCUACAAGAUGCCGGCAAAUUUUGACUGGUGACUAUUUGAAGCCCCUAAAUUAAUCUCACUUCGACUUAGUUCCUUGACACCGACAUAGCCGGAAAAGCACUCUCGUUGUCCAAAUAAAACUUUUCAAUUGACAUGAACGUAGUUCCUCGGCACUAUAAUGCCACAAGAUCUUUAUCUCAGCGAAGCUCCUCAAGUUUAUGUCAACAUAGUUCUAAACUGUGAAGAUGUGGGGUUCACUGUAUAAAAUGACAACAACAUGAAGGCUUUUUGUUUUCUUUGGUUAUUAGGAUUUUUCUGAAUGAGCUUAGUGCUCAUUGAUCUUUCCAUUUGGCUAUUUUUUUUUUCCUUAGCGUGUGAUGUGCAUCUUUCCUUGUGGGUGUGGUUUCUUGUCCAACAAGACAGUGGCGUGUGUGUUCUUUGUAGCAGCUGGGUGGCGACUUUGCCGAAAAUCCCGCUCGAGACCCCCACCCCACCCUCCAAGACUGCACAAAAACAGCAGG